UCACUACAGAGGCAAUGCUGGGACGUGGUGCUGAGGAACGAGUCUUUCUUUCCAUGGAAGUCGCCAAGAGCUUCCCCGCCGUCUGUGGAAGCGUUCGCAGUGCCAGCGGAGGCGGGGCCCAGGCGGUCCCCAGGCGGUCCCGCCUCUGAGGGGAAGCGGAGGUGCGGCCCGGGUUUGUGGGUGUGUGGUGCUGCAGGUGGCGUGUGCGCCUAGCUGGGCUUCCCCUUACCAAGAGAUGGCACUCUUGCAUUUAGAGCAAGAAGCAGGAAUGCAAAACAUGAGGGGAUUCCAGAAUGAUGCAGUAUUAUGAAAGAGUGGCCCUGCAGUCUUUGUUCUGCAGAGAAGACUGGAAAUUCACCUUCAGGCUCAUGGUCUUGAAAGAAAAAUUAUGUGCUCCAGCACCAGUCAUGCCUAGAGUACAGCUGAUUGACAUCAUCAGACAGUAAGUAAAGCAGAACUAGUUUUUCUGACAUUCCAUUGCCUGGAACACAGUACAUCAAGUAAAAGUGGGAAAUAUCACAACAGGUGCUGGAAUGUUAUCACUGACAUACUUUACCUAGAUAUGACAGGCAAGU